rnacentral:rRNA from 1 species
UUACUCUUCGGAGUGAGAGCGUACACAGGUGCUGCAUGGCUGUCGUCAGCUCGUGUCGUGAGAUGUUGGGUUAAGUCCCGCAACGAGCGCAACCCUGCAUUCAGUUGCCAUCGGUAAGGCCGGGCACUCUGGAUGGACUGCCGGCGACAAGCCGGAGGAAGGUGGGGACGACGUCAAGUCAUCAUGGCCCUUAUGUCCAGGGCGACACACGUGCUACAAUGGCCGGCACAACGGGAAGCGAAGGGGCGACCCUGAGCGGAUCCCACAAAAGCCGGUCUCAGUUCGGAUUGCAGUCUGCAACUCGACUGCAUGAAGUUGGAAUCGCUAGUAAUCGUGGAUCAGCCAAGCCGCGGUGAAUACGUUCCCGGGCCUU